rnacentral:rRNA from 1 species
UACGGAGGGGGCGAGCGUUGUCCGAAGUUACUGGGCGUAAAGCGCGCGUAGGCGGGGCGGAAAGUCCGCUGUGAAAGCCCGAGGCUUAACCUCGGCGGGUCGGUGGAUACUUCCGUUCUUGAAGGUGCUAGGGGGAGAUGGAAUUACCGGUGUAGCGGUGAAAUGCGUAGAUAUUGGGAGGAACACCAGUGGCGAAGGCGGCUCACUGGACUGGUACUGACGCUGAUGCGCGAAAGCGUGGGGAGCAAACAGG